AACAAUCUGCUGUUCCAAGACUUUUCCCAAAGUGCCAAACGCGGACAACAACAAGGAAGAACGACACACGUGAGUAGAAAACGCGAAGGUCCCAUUGAUGGUGUUACAUGGGAGGUAUUAACAAUACCAACCGCGCGUGAUCCGCACGUCCCAACGUCUUCUUCCUCUAUCCCAUUCUGCUUUGGACAGUACUUUCGGCUGCAACUUUUGUGCGUUUCCAGCUACUUCCUUCGUCCCCCUUAGCGCGAGAUCAUGCCACAUCGAUACCAAGGACGGGAGAUCGAUUUUAAUCGUCCAUUCCGCUUUCCCUUUUCAGAAUAGAGUUAGAAUUUCAGAAAAAGGGUGCAGAAGUCGGUACUCUUUCAGGUUCACUAUUGUCCUUGUUCUGCUGCCCCUCUGAAGGUAAUCUUCCAUUUCCCUUUUAAGUAUCCCUUGCUCUUAAUAUGUUGUUGAUGAGAGUGUAGAGUAGUCGUCUACAUGAUAGAGUGGGUGAUCUAUUUUUUUCUAUCUUCGGACUCGUCGCUGGCUAUUGUGUAGUAAUAGAAUCUGUUUUUUAAGCUAUUAUUGUCAUUUAUUUCCGUUUUCAAAAUGAUUUGGUGUCUAUCUAGCUUACAUUGUUGUUUUGUGUUUCUUCGAGCUAAUGGCUAUUAUGCUUGCCUUAAGAUUGGACUUUUCAUUUGUUAAACAUCAUGCUUCUAGUCCAUCUCUGUUUAGCUAAAUAUUUUCUCGUUUUGCUAUAUAUCCUUAAGUAUCAAAGAAGUCGUUUUAUCCUCUCUCUAUGGGUCUCCUAUUUUAUGGAUUUCUGCUUGCUCCGUGUGUGCGUUUAGCUAUGACUAUUUCGUUCUAAAAGGGGAUUGAAACCUGCAGCAGGCUGCUUGUCCUAGUGUCAAGUCGUUCAAAUGUUUUUCCUUGUUCUGAAAAUGAAUCUCAAAUGUGAUGUAGGUUUAGUAUGGCUGACAUGUUUAGUUUAUCGAGUAUGUUAAUAUUUUCCUCUAAAUGACUCGACUAUUUGUUGUGUUCAAAGAGCAUGCCCCUUAACAUAAUGAACUAGCAUAACCAAGCUCUUCACUUAUGGAGUUAGUUCGAUAUCCUCAUUCCGAUAAUUUCACUUAAAGUACGCAUGCAAGUUGCUUCUACAUGAAAAUCUAUGAUUGCCAUUGUUUGCCAUUUAUUAAUUUGGUUUGUUUUGGUUUCCCAUAUAGCCACUGUUCAUUCUUUUGCCUAAUCUUUUUUGGUUUUAUGCUUUCUUCUUUCAUUGUUUUGUUUGUUUCUCAAAAGACCUUUUGUUAUGUUUUCGUCUUGAUUUGUUCCAUUAGUUUUACUUUGAUACGGAUACUAAUUCUCUCUUUUUUACCAAUUUGUUGUAUGAACCUCCUCCGAGUUCAUAACGGAGUUCUUUAGUUGCAUUCUUAUAUUCGAGCCAUGAAGGCUCAAAUCUCUUGUCGCCUUCGAGUCAGCCAGAUUGCUAUUGUGUAGAGCAAAAACCUUAAAACAAAGGCUGGAAAUGGAGCUUGCAAGUUCCAAAAAGCUAAAAUAAGUGUUGAUAUGCUGUUGUAUAUAGCGAUAUAUGGUCCAAAACACCAUGAUACGUGUGUGGAAAUUGAUAUUACAUGUGUAAAUAAGGAAAACUCAAAGGUGUGCAGGUUGAAUACAUCAGAUACUGCUGGAAAUUCAUUUUUGCAGCCCCAAAGGGCCUAAAACGCAGUGAUAUAUCAUCUGUAUACACUGAUAUACAGCUGGAAUAUAGCACAGAUGGGUGCGAAACGUGAAAAUGCAGGUGAAACGUGCAGGGACAUCGAAUUCAAAUAAAAUACAGGCUAGGGAUUCCAAGAAUCGGUAGUAUACGUGAUGUAUACAUCAAAUAUACACUUGGUGUAUAUCAUGGAAAAUGUGGACAAAAAGGGCCUAAAUCUUAAAGAAUUUUGGGCCCAAGUCCAUUUGUGAUAACUAAAUAAAAGAACUUUAUCUUUUAGUCAAAACAUGAAAAAUUAUAUGAAAGUCAUUUUUAGUCAAA